UUGGGUUGUAUGGUGAUUUUAUCCAUGGCAUGUGUAUGGCAUGCUGUAAUUAGUUUUAUUACAUCAGAUUCAAUGGCCCUCACUUUAGACUUUGCAGCAUUUAUCUGUCUAGUCACGGGUUUCGUUCUAUUUCAUCUGGUAUUUGGUCUCAUUGUGUACAUCAUGUUGGAAUUAAAGAGGAUAAGCAAUGACAAAGCUGAGAAAUUGUAUCAGGAGAAAGCUGUAGCUAUGUAUCCGGAAGUCUAUACCCAAAAAUUAAGAAGAAGGGCUUUGUUUAAUAGAAACAAGAGAGGUGCAAGAAUAACUUCAGUGCCAAUAUAAUAAACGUUUUUGGGAAUGUGUUGCGAUAGUGACGUAGUGCGAAAACAUCAUCACAUAUCUGUGUAUUAUGAUAUCCAGGUUUAUGGGGACAUGUUGUGAAUCUUAUAUGUAUGAUAAUAUCCAGAUUUAUUGGGACAUGUAGUUUAUGAUAUAUAUGUACAUGAUGAUAUCCAGGUUUAUUGGGACAUGGUGUGAAUCAUAUAUCUGUGUAUGGUGAUAUCCAGGUUAAAGGAGACAUGUGAAUCAUAUAAUUAUGUAUGGUUAUAUCCAGGUUUAUGGGGACAUGUUUUGAAUCAUAUAUCUAUGUAUGAUGAUAUCCAGGUUUAUUGGAACACGAUCUGGUACCUGCAGACACGUUCGGAUACGUUUCCAUACGAUCAACACGAUUGCUACGACUGACCUCAAUAUAUGAUAAGACUUGAUAGGAUCAGCACGAUUACCAAACAAUUAAAACCACGACUUCUAUCGUGAUAGUAUAGUGGGAACCACCUAGCAUACCCCCCCCCCCUC